UUAAAGAUAAGCUAACCUAAGCUGACGGGUUCAUACCCCGUCUAUGAAAACCUCUCUUUAAA
rnacentral:tRNA from 1 species